CCUACGGGUGGCAGCAGUAGGGAAUCUUUCACAAUGGGCGAAAGCCUGAUGGAGCAACGCCGCGUGCAGGAUGAAGGCCCUCCGGUUGGUAACUGCUUUUAUAAGCGAAAAAUAUGAUGGUAACUUAUGAAUAAGGAUCGGCUAACUACGUGCCAGCAGCCGCGGUCAUACGUAGGAUCCGAGCAUUAUCCGGGGUGACUGGGUGUAAAGAGUUGCGUAGGUGGCAUAAUAAGUAGCUAGUGAAAUCUGGUGGCUCAACCAUUCAGACUAUUAGCUAAACUGUUAAGCUCGAGACCGUUAGGGGUAACUGGAAGUUGUAGUGUAGGAGUGAAAUCCGUAGAUAUUAGAAGGAACACCGAUAGCGUAGGCAGGUUGCUGGGACGGUUCUGACACUAAGGCACGAAAGCGUAGGGAGCAAACGGGAUUAGAUACCCCAGUAGUC
rnacentral:rRNA from 1 species